rnacentral:rRNA from 1 species
AGUGAACGCUGGCGGUAGGCCUAACACAUGCAAGUCGAACGGCAGCACAGUAAGAGCUUGCUCUUACGGGUGGCGAGUGGCGGACGGGUGAUGAAUACAUCGGAAUCUACUUUUUCGUGGGUGAGAACGUAGGGAAACAUACGCUAAUACCGCAUACGACCUACGGGUGAAAUCAUGGGAUCUUCGGACCUUGCGCGAUUGAAUGAGCCGAUGUCGGAUUAGCUAGUUGGCGGGGUAAAGGCCCACCAAGGCGACGAUCCGUAGCUGGUCUGAGAGGAUGAUCAGCCACACUGGAACUGAGACACGGUCCAGACUCCUACGGGAGGCAGCAGUGGGGAAUAUUGGACAAUGGGCGCAAGCCUGAUCCAGCCAUACCGCGUGGGUGAAGAAGGCCUUCGGGUUGUAAAGCCCUUUUGUUGGGAAAGAAAAGCAGUAGGUUAAUACCCCGCUGUUUUGACGGUACCAAAAGAAUAAGCACCGGCUAACUUCGUG